rnacentral:rRNA from 1 species
UUAAGCGACUAAGCGUACACGGUGGAUGCCCUGGCAGUCAGAGGCGAUGAAGGACGUGCUAAUCUGCGAUAAGCGUCGGUAAGGUGAUAUGAACCGUUAUAACCGGCGAUUUCCGAAUGGGGAAACCCAGUGUGAUUCGUCACACUAUCAUUAACUGAAUCCAUAGGUUAAUGAGGCGAACCGGGGGAACUGAAACAUCUAAGUACCCCGAGGAAAAGAAAUCAACCGAGAUUCCCCCAGUAGCGGCGAGCGAACGGGGAGGAGCCCAGAGCCUGAAUCAGUGUGUGUGUUAGUGGAAGCGUCUGGAAAGGCGCGCGAUACAGGGUGACAGCCCCGUACACAAAAAUGCACAUGCUGUGAGCUCGAUGAGUAGGGCGGGACACGUGGUAUCCUGUCUGAAUAUGGGGGGACCAUCCUCCAAGGCUAAAUACUCCUGACUGACCGAUAGUGAACCAGUACCGUGAGGGAAAGGCGAAAAGAACCCCGGCGAGGGGAGUGAAAAAGAACCUGAAACCGUGUACGUACAAGCAGUGGGAGCCUCUUAAUGGGGUGACUGCGUACCUUUUGUAUAAUGGGUCAGCGACUUAUAUUCUGUAGCAAGGUUAACCGAAUAGGGGAGCCGAAGGGAAACCGAGUCUUAACUGGGCGUUAAGUUGCAGGGUAUAGACCCGAAACCCGGUGAUCUAGCCAUGGGCAGGUUGAAGGUUGGGUAACACUAACUGGAGGACCGAACCGACUAAUGUUGAAAAAUUAGCGGAUGACUUGUGGCUGGGGGUGAAAGGCCAAUCAAACCGGGAGAUAGCUGGUUCUCCCCGAAAGCUAUUUAGGUAGCGCCUCGUGAAUUCAUCUCCGGGGGUAGAGCACUGUUUCGGCAAGGGGGUCAUCCCGACUUACCAACCCGAUGCAAACUGCGAAUACCGGAGAAUGUUAUCACGGGAGACACACGGCGGGUGCUAACGUCCGUCGUGAAGAGGGAAACAACCCAGACCGCCAGCUAAGGUCCCAAAGUCAUGGUUAAGUGGGAAACGAUGUGGGAAGGCCCAGACAGCCAGGAUGUUGGCUUAGAAGCAGCCAUCAUUUAAAGAAAGCGUAAUAGCUCACUGGUCGAGUCGGCCUGCGCGGAAGAUGUAACGGGGCUAAACCAUGCACCGAAGCUGCGGCAGCGACACUAUGUGUUGUUGGGUAGGGGAGCGUUCUGUAAGCCUGCGAAGGUGUACUGUGAGGUAUGCUGGAGGUAUCAGAAGUGCGAAUGCUGACAUAAGUAACGAUAAAGCGGGUGAAAAGCCCGCUCGCCGGAAGACCAAGGGUUCCUGUCCAACGUUAAUCGGGGCAGGGUGAGUCGACCCCUAAGGCGAGGCCGAAAGGCGUAGUCGAUGGGAAACAGGUUAAUAUUCCUGUACUUGGUGUUACUGCGAAGGGGGGACGGAGAAGGCUAUGUUGGCCGGGCGACGGUUGUCCCGGUUUAAGCGUGUAGGCUGGUUUUCCAGGCAAAUCCGGAAAAUCAAGGCUGAGGCGUGAUGACGAGGCACUACGGUGCUGAAGCAACAAAUGCCCUGCUUCCAGGAAAAGCCUCUAAGCAUCAGGUAACAUCAAAUCGUACCCCAAACCGACACAGGUGGUCAGGUAGAGAAUACCAAGGCGCUUGAGAGAACUCGGGUGAAGGAACUAGGCAAAAUGGUGCCGUAACUUCGGGAGAAGGCACGCUGAUAUGUAGGUGAAGUCCCUCGCGGAUGGAGCUGAAAUCAGUCGAAGAUACCAGCUGGCUGCAACUGUUUAUUAAAAACACAGCACUGUGCAAACACGAAAGUGGACGUAUACGGUGUGACGCCUGCCCGGUGCCGGAAGGUUAAUUGAUGGGGUUAGCGCAAGCGAAGCUCUUGAUCGAAGCCCCGGUAAACGGCGGCCGUAACUAUAACGGUCCUAAGGUAGCGAAAUUCCUUGUCGGGUAAGUUCCGACCUGCACGAAUGGCGUAAUGAUGGCCAGGCUGUCUCCACCCGAGACUCAGUGAAAUUGAACUCGCUGUGAAGAUGCAGUGUACCCGCGGCAAGACGGAAAGACCCCGUGAACCUUUACUAUAGCUUGACACUGAACAUUGAGCCUUGAUGUGUAGGAUAGGUGGGAGGCUUUGAAGUGUGGACGCCAGUCUGCAUGGAGCCGACCUUGAAAUACCACCCUUUAAUGUUUGAUGUUCUAACGUUGGCCCCUAAUCGGGGUUGCGGACAGUGUCUGGUGGGUAGUUUGACUGGGGCGGUCUCCUCCUAAAGAGUAACGGAGGAGCACGAA